rnacentral:rRNA from 1 species
CAAGAAAAAAGCUGUCUUUAUAUUAAAGUUUAAAUUUAACUUUUAAUUUAAAAGCUCCUUAUAAAAAAAAGGGACAAUAAAACCCUAUAAAUCUUUCCUUUAUUUGUUAAUAUAUUUAUUUAAUUUUUUUCUACCACAAUUAAAAUUUAAUUUUUUGUUAUGUUGGGGAGACAAAAUCUAUAAUUUAUAUUAACUGCUUGAAGAAAAUUCAAUAGAAAUUUAUCGCCCUCUAUUUAUCAAUCCUCCCUCAAAUCAAAUAAUCCCCUUAUUUUAGGAACACCAGCCUUUUUUUUUUUGAUAGCUCCUUU